rnacentral:misc_RNA from 1 species
UCCGAGUUGUCCCCGGCAGUCUUCUAUGAGUCCCCGACUUAACUCGCUGGUAACAUAGAACAAGGGUUGCGCUCGUUGCGGGACUUAACCCAACAUCUCACGACACGAGCUGACGACAGCCAUGCAGCACCUGUGUUCCGAUUCUCUUUCGAGCACACCCACAUCUCUGCGGGCUCUCGGACAUGUCAAGGGUAGGUAAGGUUUUUCGCGUUGCAUCGAAUUAAUCCACAUAAUCCACCGCUUGUGCGGGUCCCCGUCAAUUCCUUUGAGUUUUAGCCUUGCGGCCGUACUCCCCAGGCGGGGCGCUUAAUGCGUUAGCUUCGUUACCAAGGAAUUGCUUCCCCGACAACCAGUUGACAUAGUUUAGGGCGUGGACUAC